UACGGAGGGUGCGAGCGUUGUCCGGAAUCACUGGGCGUAAAGGGCGCGUAGGUGGCCCGUUAAGUGGCUGGUGAAAUCCCGCGGCUCAACUGCGGGGCUGCCGGUCAUACUGGCGAGCUAGAGCACGGUAGGGGCAGAUGGAAUUCCCGGUGUAGCGGUGGAAUGCGUAGAGAUCGGGAAGAAUACCAGUGGCGAAGGCGUUCUGCUGGGCCGUUGCUGACACUGAGGCGCGAAAGCGUGGGGAGCAAACAGG
rnacentral:rRNA from 1 species